rnacentral:rRNA from 1 species
AGCGAACGCUGGCGGCAGGCCUAACACAUGCAAGUCGAACGGAUCCUUCGGGAUUAGUGGCGGACGGGUGAGUAACACGUGGGAACGUGCCCUUUGGUUCGGAACAACUCAGGGAAACUUGAGCUAAUACCGGAUGUGCCCUUCGGGGGAAAGAUUUAUCGCCAUUGGAGCGGCCCGCGUCUGAUUAGCUAGUUGGUGAGGUAACGGCCCACCAAGGCGACGAUCAGUAGCUGGUCUGAGAGGAUGAUCAGCCACACUGGGACUGAGACACGGCCCAGACUCCUACGGGAGGCAGCAGUGGGGAAUCUUGCGCAACGGGCGAAAGCCUGACGCAGCCAUGCCGCGUGAAUGAUGAAGGUCUUAGGAUUGUAAAAUUCUUUCAGCGGGGACGAUAAUGACGGUACCCGCAGAAGAAGCUCCGGCUAACUUCGU